GGCAAGUAUUCACAAAACUGACUGGACCUCUGAUAAAUGAGGCUUCAAAAAAAGCAGGGAUGAAAGAAGAGUAGGAGUCUUGAACAAAACCACAUUGCACCAUAGUCUCGUUAGCGCAUCCUCUGAAAUAACUGCCACAAAGGAGUAUUUACUACUGUGUCAACAGAAUGAGUACUCUGCUGCUACCAACUUCUUCAGAACUGAUGUCAGUACCAUGGCUGUUAAGGAAUACCUCAUCAUCUGAUGCUCAGCAAAAUUACUCAUGGGGAGAAAUACCAGUUCUACAAAAGCACCAAGGAGAAAAAGAGGUCUGUUUCAGCAUAUUCAGAAACAUCACGAGUGAAUCAACGACUAAGUACAUCAGAAUUACUUACCACUUCGUAUUUUCUGUGACCUGAUCCCUGACUGUAACAUUUGAGCUCCUGGUUGUCAUGAGGUAAGCCUGAUUUGUAUGCGUCAACUUAGUACCCAAUAUUAGUGAGAAAAAAAAUCCUAUUUUUUUGCAAGAUGCAAUGUUGAACAGUAUCUCAUUGGAUUGAAAUCAGGUAGAUAAUAAUAUUCUCA
rnacentral:lncRNA from 1 species